rfam:Biomphalaria glabrata isolate BB02 unplaced genomic scaffold LGTN_random_Scaffold87, whole genome shotgun sequence.
GUGGCUUAGUGGUAAAGCGCUUGGCUACCGAACCGAGGAGUUCCGGGUUCGAAUCCUGGC